rnacentral:rRNA from 1 species
UGGGGAAUAUUGGACAAUGGGCGCAAGCCUGAUCCAGCCAUGCCGCGUGAGUGAUGAAGGCCCUAGGGUUGUAAAGCUCUUUCACCGGUGAAGAUAAUGACGGUAACCGGAGAAGAAGCCCCGGCUAACUUCGUGCCAGCAGCCGCGGUAAUACGAAGGGGGCUAGCGUUGUUCGGAUUUACUGGGCGUAGAGCGCACGUAGGCGGACUAUUAAGUCAGGGGUGAAAUCCCGGGGCUCAACCCCGGAACUGCCUUUGAUACUGGUAGUCUUGAGUUCGAGAGAGGUGAGUGGAAUUCCGAGUGUAGAGGUGAAAUUCGUAGAUAUUCGGAGGAACACCAGUGGCGAAGGCGGCUCACUGGCUCGAUACUGACGCUGAGGUGCGAAAGCGUGGGGAGCAAACAGG